rnacentral:ncRNA from 1 species
AUUUGUUGUGGAUUGGAUGAUGGAAAAACCAGCAAGCCCCUUGACCUUCUAUUUAGUAAAGGGCGCAGUGAACUGUAAUUGUGAAAAGGUUGGAAGAUCUGGCCAAAGAAAGUGAUAGCCCUGUAGAUUCAUUCCCAUGGUUCGAUCCUUCCCAGUAAAACGCGGCGUGUUCGAAUUCUGAUCGCUUUUACACGAGAAAGGGGGACCACCCUCUAAGCCUAAGUAUUCCUCAAUGACCGAUAGCGUACAAGUACCGUGAGGGAAAG